UUUCUUGGACUGCGGAGUUUCCACUCCUUUUUUGUUUGUUUGCUUGGUUGGUUUGUUUUCAUGCAGUGUCUUUUGUGAUCACAUUAUGUUUCAUGACACGUCACUGAAAUAUGAACAGUGAAGAUGGUGAUACUUAGAAGGAAUGUAGCAGUAGGAGUGUUCCAAUUUUGUUUUUAAGAUGAGGCCUUUCAUAAUGUUUUAGUGAACAUCAGUGCUUCAAGUCCAGAAGGGCAAGAGGAGAUGAGGUUAUAGAGCAAACAGCUGCACUGCUGCUCCUGGAGGGAGACGGGGGAGAGCUGUAGCUGCUAUAUGGAGACAGGUACCAUAGCACACAUUUUAUGCCAAGACAGCAAAGGUGUUGACAAGUCAAUGAAAGAAGUGUGAAAGCAGGCUGAACAGCUCUUGCAACUGCCACUGAAUGUCUAUGCAAACCUCCAGGAUUUUGGUCAGGUGUACAAUACAAGCAGGACGUGAGCAAGAUGAGUAUGGAAAAAAAACCACGGUCAGAGGAAAUGCACCCAGAUGAAGACUGGAAUCAAAGGAGCAGCAUUGUCGAUAAACCCUCUCAAGGGUGGCUGCACUUGAGUGAGAAGAUCCUGGGACCUGGUGUGACGUACACUGUGAAGGAAAAAAUGAUGACUAGCCAAGAUUUUUGAACCUCUGCAGUAGAAGACAUGAUUCCAGGGGAAUGUGACACCAAGCUUUCAGAUUUACAUCAGCGUCCUGCAAGGCACUGGUUAGAAUACGAAGUGUUGAUUAUGAUUCUAAAAUCUCUGAAUGGGGAGGCAUUCAUUCAUCUGAAAGAUGUCACCUUAGGGUGCAGUACCAUUCAGUGAAGGUAUACAAGCUGGAAUAUUCUCAUUCAAAAAUGAGAAACUAGACAGAAGGCAGAACAUUAUCUGAGAAAGCUUGGUACUCCCAAAUUUUCCUACUUCAGGAUGAGCUGCAUUUGGUGUUUUUGUUUAUUGAGCAAGAGAGGGAAGAUACUAGUGGGAUGCUAUCAUGAUGCACAGUAGCCAAUUGGUUAGAAUGUGCAUUAAGUGUUGGGUGAAGAGGAGCUUUUUUAGAAGUAGACUGUUUUAUAACUAUAUUUUAAAUGUUUCAUGGAAUGCCUAAAACAAAAGAUAGCAUUUCUUUUUAAACAGGAUAUAUAUUUGUUGAAAUAAAUGAAUAAUUUGUUUACUUGCUAUCUUGGUUGUAUGUCUCCUUUCUGUGGAUCCUUGUCAGGAUGUACUUCAAAUGGAUAUUUUUAGAGAACAGUAUUGGUCUUUGGGAAUAAUUGAAGCAUAGCAGUAGGUGAGUUAUAUGUCCCUGUAGUUGGCCUUUGGGCCUUUUGAAUGUCAGUUUUUAUAGUAAUUUCAUUACUUGAAAACAUGCUGUGGUGAUUAAGUGUUCACAUCUUUUAUCCAAGAAAAUCAAUUGCCAUCUUUGCCCUGAUCAGUCAGGAAAAUUGCAAGCCUUACUAUGUUGUGUUCAGAUGUCUCCAUGCUAUACAUAAAGCAAGUACAAGAUAAUUUUUCCAUCUGACUUUCCUUCAGUCUGGUUUUGUCUCUACUUUCAUUAAUGCAGAUCAGGUAGUAUGACUCAAAGGAGUCUAAC
rnacentral:lncRNA from 1 species